AUUUAAGCAACUGUUAAUAGGAUGGAACCUUGCGGUAUUAAAUGUUUUGACAUUGGAUUUCAGAUCCAAUUUAAAUGUGUCCGUACUAGAACCUAGACAAAGUUUCAUAUCCUCCAAAACGGUAGCUUUACUUAUUUAUAAAGUUGUGAAAAUCAAACUAUAGUGAAAUAACAAAGUAAUAGCAUGUGCAAAUUAUUUAACACAAUUCUUACAUGGUGGGCAGAAUUUUAAAAUCACUCCUAUGACCCCUGUUCACUUUUGUCUAAUUCUCUGCUCUUGAAUGUUGUGGGAACUGUUGAUACAACAAAGUAUAACCACCUUAGGUUAAAUUAUAUGGCAAACAGAGAUUUCAAAUAUAGUCAAGGUAUAUAAUUCAUUUCCCUGUAUUUAUCAAUCUAGUAUUCCAUCUUAUCCAAACUGAAGAUUUAAUCAAGAGGAGUAUCUAGGUGGACCUUGUCAAAUGAGAUGAGGUUUUAAUAUCAGACAGAUCCUUCAAGUGUCAGAGAUAUCCAAAGUGUGUGAAGGCAUAGGAGAGGGGUCAUGUGACAAGGUAUUUUUAGUUGCUCUUAGGAGCUGAGCAUGGGACCAGUUCUAAAACCAAAAGGUUAACCAUCUACUUGUGCCACAUGAAGAAGGUCCCCACCUGCUUCAAACUUUCAACUCCUAACAGGCUUUACACCUUGAUUUCUCUCAGCACAGGGCUGCAAAGAUGAUGAUCAAACAACUAAUCUAAUGAAGAAGAGGCCAACACUCUGGAGAAGAGAUAAGCCUGCCUGGAAGAGUUGACUACUCCAAGGAAAAACAGCACAACUUCAACCAUGUGGGAGGAUCUGGGAACAGCCUGAUUGACACUUCAAAAAUCCCUUAUCACCUCCACAGUGAUUCGAAUGCUGCUGAAGAGCUCAGGUGUUCCAUGAUUAAUGAUUUUGUCCUUACCUGGAAAGUUAGUCACAUUUCUGUUGAAGAAUUCUGGGCAAUAAUUUGAAUGGACAAAUUGAAAAUCAAUGGAUGUAGAAGUAUUUUCUUCCCUGUUUAUCAUGAAAACCAGAGAGUUUUGAAUACCGACUGGCAUAUGUAGAAAAUAAUAUAUAUUUGUGGAAUGAAUAAAAAGUCAAACAGUGUAUUAUUACUAGUUUCAUAAUGAAAUGAGGCUACCUCUUUGCUAGUGAAAUUAAUAUUGAUACUCAUUUUUCAUUUUAAAUUAAAGUUGAUAUCUUAAAAUUUUAACAGUAAGGUAUUACUCUUCAUUUAUUACCAUAAAUUCUGCUUCCCUAAACUACAUUUUAAACAUGCAAUUCUCCCCACCCCCCACACAAUUACAAAGUGUUCAUCAAAUGUAUUAUUCUGUUGCUAUGGUUUAAUAAAUUGUGUUGUAUUUUGGUAACAGAGAUUACAGCUACCAUCAUUCUUAGGAAUUGUUGUCAAGAAAAGCUAUAAACUUUUAUUAGUCAUGU
rnacentral:lncRNA from 1 species